GACGAACGCUGGCGGCGUGCUUAACACAUGCAAGUCGAACGGAAAGGCCCUGCUUUUGUGGGGUGCUCGAGUGGCGAACGGGUGAGUAACACGUGAGUAACCUGCCCUUGACUUUGGGAUAACUUCAGGAAACUGGGGCUAAUACCGGAUAGGAGCUCCUGCUGCAUGGUGGGGGUUGGAAAGUUUCGGCGGUUGGGGAUGGACUCGCGGCUUAUCAGCUUGUUGGUGGGGUAGUGGCUUACCAAGGCUUUGACGGGUAGCCGGCCUGAGAGGGUGACCGGCGAGAUGGGAGCUGAGACACGGCGGAGACUCCUACGGGAGGCAGCAGUGGGGGAUAUUGCACAGUGGGGGAGAGGCGGAUGGAGCGACGCUGCGUGAAGGAGGAAGUGUGGGGGGAAGUAAAGUUCUAUCAGCAGGGAAGAAAGUGACGGUACCUGACUAAGAAGCCCCGGCUAACUACGUG
rnacentral:rRNA from 1 species